rnacentral:tmRNA from 1 species
GGGGGCGAAACGGUCUCGACGGGGCUGUGGCCCCCACGGGAAGCGGGUCGAGGUCUCCACCACCUCGUAAAAAAGGUGGAAUACAAAAAAGUGCCAACUACGAUUACGCACUCGCUGCCUAAUUGAAAAGGUAGCCGUUCCUUCCUCCUUUGACCCGGAGGGGGAAAGGAACGUCAGAAAACGGGUCUAUGCUGCGGAUGUCGCCCCGCCAUCCGCAGUGAAAACCAAGGGGCUCUGGAAAGGGAACCCUGCCCGUGGGGAGCCCUUUCCGAGAAAGAAACGCGGGCUACACCCGUAGAAGCCUGUGGGGACCCAGCUUCGGACCCGGGUUCGACUCCCGGCGCCUCCACCA